rnacentral:rRNA from 1 species
CAGAGGGUGCGAGCGUUAAUCGGAAUUACUGGGCGUAAAGCGCGCGUAGGCGGCUUUGCAAGUCGGAUGUGAAAUCCCCAGGCUUAACCUGGGAACUGCAUUCGAGACUGCAUUGCUAGAGUAUGGGAGAGGGAAGUGGAAUUUCCGGUGUAGCGGUGAAAUGCGUAGAUAUCGGAAGGAACAUCAGUGGCGAAAGCGACUUCCUGGACCAAUACUGACGUUCAUGUGCGAAAGCGUGGGGAGCAAACAGGAUUAGAUACCCUGGUAGUCCACGCCAUAAACGAUGAGAACUGGAUGUCGGGAGGGUCUGCCUCUCGGUGUCGUAGCUAACGCGUUAAGUUCUCCGCCUGGGGAGUACGGCCGCAAGGUUG